GACGAACGCUGGCGGCGUGCCUAAUACAUGCAAGUCGAGCGGACCUCUUCGGAGGUCAGCGGCGGACGGGUGAGUAACACGUGGGCAACCUGCCUGUAAGACUGGGAUAACUUCGGGAAACCGGAGCUAAUCCCGUAUAAUCCUCAUCGACUCAUGUUGAAGAGCUGAAAGACGGUUUCGGCUGUCACUUACAGAUGGGCCUGAGGCGCAUUAGCUAGUUGGUGGGGUAACGGCCCACCAAGGCGACGAUGCGUUGCCGACCUGAGAGGGUGAUCGGCCACACUGGGACUGAGACACGGCCCAGACUCCUACGGGAGGCAGCAGUAGGGAAUCUUCCGCAAUGGACGAAAGUCUGACGGAGCAACGCCGCGUGAGCGAAGAAGGCCUUCGGGUCGUAAAGCUCUGUUGUCAGGGAAGAACAAGUAUCGGAGUAACUGCCGGUACCUUGACGGUACCUGACCAGAAAGCCACGGCUAACUACGUGCCAGCAGCCGCGGUAAUAC
rnacentral:rRNA from 1 species